CGUUUGACUAAAUAUGCUCAUUUUUGCUCUUUGGGUCAUCCUUUCUCUGCUCAAGAAGUAGCUGCUGUUUUUGCUAGUAGUGAAUCCCGGAUAGCGGAGCGGAGCGGUAAACCCUAAAAAUGGGAUUGCGGGAUGACGCGGAGCGGGAUAACCGGAAAUGAGAAGACGAAAGAACAAGACAGGACCGGAGGAGCGUCGGACAGCAGGAGCGUCGGAGCAGGAGCGUCGGAACUGACGGAGUGCAUCGGAACUGGAGUGCGUCGGACAGAGACGCCUGAAGAAGACAACCGGAGUUCGUCGCGUCCCCAAGAGAGAAAGAAUCAAUCGAGAGAGAGAGAGGAGAAGGAGCGCGAAAAACCCUAAACAACAGCACUGGUUCCGCGAGGGGGAGAGGAAGAAUUAGG